UACAGAGGGGGCAAGCGUUAUUCGGAAUUAUUGGGCGUAAAGGGCGCGUAGGCGGCUUUGCAAGUGGCGGGUGAAAUCCCUCGGCUCAACCGAGGAACUGCGACGGAUACUGCUUGGCUUGAGUCCCGGAGAGGGUAGCGGAAUUCCCAGUGUAGCGGUGAAAUGCGUAGAUAUUGGGAGGAACAUCGGUGGCGAAGGCGGCUACCUGGACGGGUACUGACGCUGAUGCGCGAAAGCUAGGGGAGCAAACAGG
rnacentral:rRNA from 1 species